UUCCCUGUGGCUCAGUUGGUAGAGCAUGGUGUUUGCAACGCCAGCAUGGUGUGUGCAACGCCAGGGUUGUGGGUUUGAUUCCCACGGGGGGAC
rfam:Salmo salar isolate Sally breed double haploid chromosome ssa14, whole genome shotgun sequence.